CAAUAGCGUAUAUUUCAGUUGCUGCAGUUAAAAAGCUCGUAGUUGGAUUUCGGGUGGGAAUGGCCGGUCCGCCGUUUCGGUGUGCACUUGCUACGCCCACCUUGCUGCCGGGGACGUGCUCUUGAGUUCACGCUCGGGACACGGAGUCGGCGAGGUUACUUUGAGUAAAUUAGAGUGUUCAAAGCAGGCCUACGCUCUGAAUACAUUAGCAUGGAAUAACACGAUAGGACUCUGGCCUAUCUUGUUGGUCUGUAGGACCGGAGUAAUGAUUAAGAGGGACAGUCGGGGGCAUUCGUAUUUCAUUGUCAGAGGUGAAAUUCUUGGAUUUAUGAAAGACGAACUACUGCGAAAGCAUUUGCCAAGGAUGUUUUCAUUAA
rnacentral:rRNA from 1 species